UCGGGGGCGCGCAGUCGCCCGUGUGAGUCUGGCUCACAUCCAAGCAGACACAGCGGCCACAGAGAGUAGCCUGCAGUGUCACCAGGCCAGCGGCCUUAAACUUCAGCUGCACAAGAGGCUGGGGACUGUUGAGAACGCAGAUUCUCGGGGCCGGCGCUGAGACCCUGAUACAGACACAUCAUAUGGCCUUUGCACCCACUUCCAGGUGAGAGAUGGGCUAUGAAUCUCAAAAAGUGUCAAGGCUGUUGAGCACCUGAAGUUUCUUAGAGAGGUCUGGUCAGUGUCUUUCAGUCUGAAACAGUUCCUCAGGAUUUCUUCCAUGACACUGACCCAGUUGAAGAUUGCAGACUGACUACUGUAGGCUGUCCCUCAAUUUGAGCCUCGAUCCAUUUACGCCUG